rnacentral:rRNA from 1 species
AGUAACACGUGGACAAUCUGCCCUUAGGUUUGGGAUAAUUCCCCGAAAGGGGUUGUAAUACCGAAUAAUAUCACUGAGUGGCAUCACUCGGUGAUCAAAGGCGGGGUAACCUGUCGCUUAGGGAUGAGUCCGCGCUCCAUUAGCUUGUUGGUGAGGUAACGGCUCCCCAAGGCUGCGAUGGAUAGCCGGCCUGAGAGGGUGAUCGGCCACACUGGGACUGAGAUACGGCCCAG